CAACGAUUAGGUGGCAUGACAACAUUUUAACAAGAGAAAGAUUGACAGGUCCUCUAAUGGUUUUUGCUUUAUUAAGAUAAUAAUGAUACAUAAAAAAGUCUGCUAGUCACGCACGAUUGUCAUGAUUCAUUUUCUAUCACUGGAAAGGAAAUAUAGAUGCAGACGCAGAACAAAAUAUAGCUUUGUACUCAACACAGUUAUGGAGUGAUCUGUUCAUAUAUUCGGAAACACUUGUAUUCAAGAAAUAUUCAUAGCUUCCAAGUCAUAUUAUAAUAGGUUAGCUCUCUCAUGCCUCAACUUGAACUGCAGAUCAUAGGCCUAUAUAAACCUUGUAAAUCAGAGAACUUCAUCUACUAAGCAGCUAAUCUUCUGCGGAUCAUUAUUGCUUCAAUGAAGUUCUUGGGAAUAACUUGGAUAUUAGUCUUCAUAAUGGUUCCGAGUACAGACUUUGUCCAAGCAAGCUCUCGCAUCUCGCUUCUCCUCAGCUCUGUCGACCUUGGGCCGCCAACACCACGGUUUGUAACUGUAGCAGGAUGUAACAAUGACUGUGAUACUGCUUGUUGCAAUUGUGACAUCAAGAAACAGCCGCCUCUGUGUGUGCAAUGCUGCCAAGAAGACCCUUAAUGACAUUCUUGCCUGCUCGAAGAUAUGUGUUGCUGUUGCCCCAGGAAUUGAAGCAGACAACCAUACCCUGUCAGGAUUUUUUCGUUUUUAACAGUUGUACAAAUGCAAAUCUUAGCUUCCAAGGAGAUUAAAGACUAGCCAUAGUAGAGCCGGCAAAUGAGAAAUCUUACCUCUACUAUCCUCAAGCUGUCAUGGUGUUGUGCCUUCAUUUACCAUGACUGGAGGGAAAGAUCUUUUACCAAUAUGGAUUUUAUGCUCAUUCGACUUACUUUUUUUUUAAUUAUUCACUCGACGUUGAACUCAGUUAGAACCUUGCAAUCCAAUAUUAGAAGCUAGCACUGAUGCUGAGAAAUCUGUUUGUGAAGCUUGGAAUUUGUUAAUUAGUUCUAGUUUUAUUUAACUUUAAUAUUUUGUUAAUCUGGAAGAGGAUCUUACAGCCUAAUUAACAGCAUAAAAAGAAAAGAUUAAUAGACAAAAAUGGUAUUGAUUGCCAUAAAAAAGGAAAGAAAGAAAAGGAAAGACCCUACCCUCCAAGAACAACUUCAAUAGAUGUCACCAGUCCUAAUCUAAAUGCUAUUUAAAUCAUUUUUUCCUUUUAUUUUUAGCAUAAUUCAAAUUUUAUAUUGGGUUUCUUUUUCUAUUUAGUACUCUGAUUCUUUUAGCUUGUAAAGUUAAGUUUGUGGCUUAUUCAGGGAGUAAUAAAACCAGACCAUAUGAAAAUUGUAAUUUCAAGUCUGUCUUUUUUGUUUU